UUACCAGUAAAAUCUGCUCAAUGAAUAUUCAAUAGCCGCAAUUAGUGCUAAGGUAGCAUAAUCAUUUGUCUUUUAAAUGAAGACUAGAACAAAAGAUUAAACAUUUCAAUUUAUUUCUUCUUAAUAAUACACAAAUUUACUCUAAAAGUAAAAAAGCUUUUAUAUGUAAGAAAGACGACAAGACCCUAUUGAACUUAACUUUAGUUAAACUGGGGCAGUUAAUUAAUUAUAAUUUUAAUUUAAAUAAAUUCUAAAAAAUCCAACUAAUUGAUAAUUCAGUUACCAUAGGGAUAACAGCAUAAUUAUUUUUUAAAGACCAUAUUCUAAAAAUAGAUUGUGACCUCGAUGUUGAAUUAAUAACCUAAUUAAAGCAAAAAUUAAGUCAAGGAAGUCUGUUCGACUUUUAAAAAAUUACAUGAUUUGAGUUCAGACCGGUGUAAGCCAGGUCGGUUUCUAUCUUCUAAAAAGUUUUUUGUAGUACGAAAGGACCUAAAAAUAUUUUAUAUUAUAUUGGCAGAAUAAUGCAUUAGAAUUAGAAUCUAAUUAAACUUCC
rnacentral:rRNA from 1 species